CCUUAAUAGCGGCUGCACCAUUAGGAUGUCCUGAUCCAACAUCGAGGUCGUAAACCCCCUCGUCGAUAGGGACUCUGGGAGAGGAUUGCGCUGUUAUCCCUAGGGUAACUCGGUCCGUUGAUCGGCGUUCGCCGGAUCAUUUUUGGUCAGAAAUUCUGGUGCUUAGAGUUGUGGCUCUUGGUUGUGGGGGCAGUGUCCCCAGUCCACAUGGGGGCUUUGUUUUCCCCCGCGGUCGCCCCAACCAAAGACAUAGGGGCUAGGGGUCACUGUGUUUUUACUUGUUAAUUCAAGGUUACUUGACGUGAUCUGCCUGGUGUCUAAAGCUCCAUAGGGUCUUCUCGUCUUAUGUAUUUAUGUCCGCUUCUGCACGGGCAGAUCAAUUUCAUUGACUUGGAAGAGGAGACAGCUAAGCCCUCGUGAUGCCAUUCAUACAGGUCUUCAUUUAAAAGAC
rnacentral:rRNA from 1 species